CUGCUUCCUACUGAUUACAGGCCUAUUAGCCUUUGGAACGUGAUUUACAAAAUCAUUGCCAAGUCUUUGGCUAAUAGACUUAAAUCUCACCUUCCUGAUUAUAUUGAUCCUGCUCAACAAGCUUUUAUUCAAGGUAGGCGUAUUAGUGAUAACAUCAUUAUUGCUCAGGAGAUUGCUCACUCUUUUUCGCUCAAAUCUUGGAAUCAUAGUGCUUUCAAGCUUAAAAUAGAUCUUGCUAAAGCUUGUGAUCGUUUGGAAUGGAACUUCAUAGUUUCUGCCUUAACUCGUAAAGGGCUGCAUGGUCAUUUCAUUAAUUUGAUUCAUGCGUGUAUCUCCUCGCCUACUUUCUCUGUGCUUAUUAAUUGUCAGCCCUCUCAAAAAUUUAAGAGUUCCAGAGGUAUCAGACAGGGCUGUCCCAUGUCGCCUUAUUUGUUUGUUUUGGCCAUUAAUGAUCUCUCCAUUAUGCUGAAUGAAGCUUUGAGGGCCAAUCAUUUACAAGGUAUUUCACUUGGACCAAAUUGCCCUUCUGUGCAUUCUUUGCUGUUUGCAGACGAUCUCCUUGUGUGUGGACAGGCCACUUGUCAGGAAGCUCAGGCUAUGGCCAACCUCAUUCAUCAUUUCUGUGCUAACUCUGGUCAAACACCCAAUUGGAAC
rnacentral:rRNA from 1 species